rnacentral:lncRNA from 1 species
UGUAAAAUUGUGUAAAAUUGCACGUUAAACUGAAUUUCAUGUAUAGUUUUGAGAUCUAUCCCUUUUUGAAGGAUAAUAUCAUUGAUUGUAACAUCAGUACAAAGAAAGGGAUAUGAUUCAUCCGAGACACAUUGGAAGCUUAGAAGAUAUUACAACCAAAGGUACAGUAUGCACGUUUAACAUAAAGUCAAGCCAUACCAAACAAAGCAAACUAUGUGUAACAGGCCUCCACCACGUGAGAGUGAGCAAAGCAGGAUUCAAGCCACUCUUUGAAGGAAUCUAACACACUUAGAUAAAAGGCUACUAGUAAAUAAAGUGAACACGUCACUUUGAACCAUUGAGCCCCUUUCCAUAACCUUGCUCCAAUGGCAAUGGACACAAUAUAACGAACCUAAGAAUAACAUAUGUGCAGUUGCUAGAAAAUAAAAACAGUCAAAACGAGCCAUGAAGGAGUCGAGAAAUCGGAACACAUAAGAUCUUAGAAAUACGAGCCUUUAGGGCACGAGAAAACCUCCACGAAGGAAGACCAAAUGAACCUUUAUUAUGUCAAGAAAAGGGAAAGCUGACCUUCACAACUAGUAAAGGAGGGUCAACAACGGAGAGAAACAAAAAGAGGGAAAAAAGAAAAAGAAAUAAAACGGUGGGGAAGGACGGAAGAAACGGAAGGAGGUGGAGAAGAGAAAGGUGGGUGUCAAUACUCGAAAGGCCAAUGCGGAAGGGGGAUCCUACCAAUGCAUGACCCACCAAUAAGGGGAGGUAGAGAAACAAUGGGGAAAGAAACAAAAUGGGAAAAAAAAGAGAUAACAAAAGGAAUGAUAGGAGGGACGAGGAAAGAAGACAGAAAAAGAAGGGAAGGAGGGAGGAAGAAAGGAAAGGGACCGACAACCAACCAAAAGGCUACCUCCGGCAAUAGUAACCCAAAAAAAACACUUACCUCGAACUUACAAAAUGAGCGAGAAAAGCAAAAGGACUUCUAGAGAGUUAUUUUUGGUUUCUAUGAAAAUAUCCUAAGUCAAUUAGAAAGUGUAAUUGGGGUGCUCUAAUUACACCCAAUUUAGUGGAAC